rnacentral:misc_RNA from 1 species
CCAUAGAAAAAUUAUCGUUUAUCAAAAAAUAUUUUUCUCAAUUUUGAUAUGUGGUAUAAUUUUUUGCACAAAUUUUAUAUUUUGCAAAACGGCCUGAAGUCAAACCAAUGUGCAAGGGACAACACUAUGAACCUAAGAGAAAGAGAAAGAGAAAGGAUCACAAAAGAUAAAUAAGUUACCUCUUUCUCUAGUUUGUAGAAG